ACGCUCGACACCUACGGGAGGCAGCAGUGGGGAAUAUUGCACAAUGGGGGAAACCCUGAUGCAGCGAUGCCGCGUGAAGGAAGAAGUAUCUCGGUAUGUAAACUUCUAUCAGCAGGGAAGAAAAUGACGGUACCUGACUAAGAAGCCCCGGCUAACUACGUGUCAGCAGCCGCGGUAAUCUGAGGCGGGCUGGCAAGGC
rnacentral:rRNA from 1 species